rnacentral:rRNA from 1 species
GGACUACACGGGUAUCUAAUCCCGUUCUCUCCCCUGGCUUUCGCGCCUCAGCGUCAGAAGAGGUCCAGCAGAUCGCUUUCGCCACCGGCGUUCCUUCCGAUAUCAACGCAUUUCACCGCUCCACCGGAAGUUCCAUCUGCCCCUACCUCGCUCGAGCUCGUCAGUAUCCAAGGCACUUCUCCAGUUAAGCUGGAGGCUUUCACCCCGGACUUGACAAGCCGCCUACGCGCCCUUUAAGCCCAGUGAUUCCGAACAACGUUCGCACGGUUCGUCUUACCGCGGCUGCUGGCAC